rnacentral:rRNA from 1 species
UGAGUACGAGAUGCUACGGCAUCGAAGCAGUCUAUGUCAUACUUCCAAGAAAAGCUUGCACUGUCAGAAACAGAUAAUGCCUGUACCAUAACCGACACAGGUGGGUAGGUAGAGUAUACUAAGGGGCGCGAGAUAACUCUCUCUAAGGAACUCGGCAAAAUGACUCCGUAACUUCGGGAGAAGGAGUGCCUUAUUUUUAAGGUCGCAAUAACAAGAUCCAAGCAACUGUUUACCAAAAACACAGGUCUCCGCUAAGUCGUAAGACGAUGUAUGGGGGCUGACGCCUGCCCAGUGCCAGAAGGUUAAAGAAGUCGGUUAGCAUUCGCGAAGCUGGUAACUGAAGCCCUGGUGAACGGCGGCCGUAACAAUAACGGUCCUAAGGUAGCGAAAUUCCUUGUCGGGUAAGUUCCGACCCGCACGAAAGGCGUAAUGAUUUGGAUACUGUCUCGGAGAGGGGCUCGGUGAAAUAGACUUGUCUGUGAAGAUGCGGACUACCUGCACCUGGACAGAAAGACCCUAUGAAGCUUUACUGUAACUUGAAAUUGAAAUUGGACUUUAUUUGCGCAGUAUAGGUGGGAGGCGUUGAAAAUAUUCUUGCGGGAAUAUUGGAGCCAUCAGUGAGAUACCACUCUUGUAAUGUUAGAUUUCUAACUUUAUAUCAUUAUCUGGUUAAAGAACAGUUUCAGGCGGGCAGUUUGACUGGGGCGGUCGCCUCCCAAAUGGUAACGGAGGCGCACAAAGGUUUCCUCUGAACGGGUAGAAAUCGUAUCUAGAGUGUAAAGGCAUAAGGAAGCUUGACUGUGAGACCUACAAGUCGAGCAGGGACGAAAGUCGGUCUUAGUGAUCUGACGGUGCUGAGUGGAAAGGCCGUCACUCAACGGAUAAAAGUUACUCUAGGAUAACAGGCUGAUCUCCCCCAAGAGUUCACAUCGACGGGGAGGUUUGGCACCUCGAUGUCGGCUCAUCGCAUCCUGGGGCGGUAGUACGUCCCAAGGGUUGGGCUGUUCGCCCAUGAAAGCGGUACGCGAGCUGGGUUCAGAACGUCGUGAGACAGUUCGGUCCAUAUCCGGUGUAGGCGUUAGAAUAUUGAGAGGAGCCUUCUUUAGUACGAGAGGACCGAGAAGGACAUACCUCUGGUGUACCAGUUAUCGUGCCAACGGUAAACGCUGGGUAGCUAUGUAUGGAGUGGAUAACCGCUGAAAGCAUCUAAGUGGGAAGCCCACCUCAAGAUAAGUAUUCUCUU